rnacentral:rRNA from 1 species
AUUAGACGAAUCAUCUGGAAAGAUGAAUCAAAGAAGGUAAUAAUCCUGUAGUCGAAAAUGUUGUCUCUCUUGAGUGGAUCCUGAGUACGACGGAGCACGUGAAAUUCCGUCGGAAUCUGGGAGGACCAUCUCCUAAGGCUAAAUACUCUCUAGUGACCGAUAGUGAACCAGUACCGUGAGGGAAAGGUGAAAAGCACCCCGGAAGGGGAGUGAAAUAGAACCUGAAACCGUGUGCUUACAAGUAGUCAGAGCCCGUUAAUGGGUGAUGGCGUGCCUUUUGUAGAAUGAACCGGCGAGUUACGAUUUGAUGCAAGGUUAAGCAGUAAAUGUGGAGCCGUAGCGAAAGCGAGUCUGAAUAGGGCGUUUAGUAUUUGGUCGUAGACCCGAAACCAGGUGAUCUACCCUUGGUCAGGUUGAAGUUCAGGUAACACUGAAUGGAGGACCGAACCGACUUACGUUGAAAAGUGAGCGGAUGAACUGAGGGUAGCGGAGAAAUUCCAAUCGAACCUGGAGAUAGCUGGUUCUCUCCGAAAUAGCUUUAGGGCUAGCCUCAAGUGAUGAUUAUUGGAGGUAGAGCACUGUUUGGACGAGGGGCCCCUCUCGGGUUACCGAAUUCAGACAAACUCCGAAUGCCAAUUAAUUUAACUUGGGAGUCAGAACAUGGGUGAUAAGGUCCGUGUUCGAAAGGGAAACAGCCCAGACCACCAGCUAAGGUCCCAAAAUAUAUGUUAAGUGGAAAAGGAUGUGGCGUUGCCCAGACAACUAGGAUGUUGGCUUAGAAGCAGCCAUCAUUUAAAGAGUGCGUAAUAGCUCACUAGUCGAGUGACACUGCGCCGAAAAUGUACCG